AAGCAUCUUCGGAUGUGUAUAAAGUGGCGAACGGCUGAGUAACACGUGGGCAACCUGCCCUUUGCACUGGGAUAGCCUCGGGAAACCGAGGUUAAUACCGGAUACUCCAUAUUUGUCGCAUGGCGAAUAUGGGAAAGCUCCGGCGGCAAAGGAUGGGCCCGCGGCCUGUUAGCUAGUUGGUGGGGUAGUGGCCUACCAAGGCAAUGACGGGUAGCCGGGUUGAGAGACCGACCGGCCAGAUUGGGACUGAGACACGGCCCAGACUCCUACGGGAGGCAGCAGUGGGGAAUCUUGCACAAUGGGCGAAAGCCUGAUGCAGCGACGCCGCGUGCGGGAUGAAGGCCUUCGGGUUGUAAACCGCUUUCAGCAGGGACGAGGCCGCAAGGUGACGGUACC
rnacentral:rRNA from 1 species